AGUUCUGUGUUUUGGAUUCAGUGUGAGAAUAAUGUUGAUAACACACUGAUGUUGUAGUUGUUGCUAAGCAGUGCUUACUCUAAAUCAGCUUCCCAGGCUCUGCCAGUGAGGAAGUGCACAAGAAGCUGGGAGUGAGCAUGGCCAGGAAAGCUGACUCGAACUGGCCAGAGGGUAGAAUAGAGGCAACCACAUAACAGAUACGGACUGUACUCAGCCCAGAAUGACAAGCAGAGCGUCUCCAGGCUCUCACCACGCACCGCAAACCAGAACUGCUAAAGAACCCUAUCACAAAAGAACAAAAGGCACAAAACCCUGGAACAUACCACAGAAAAGCCAAAGAUACCAAAGACAACAGCAGUGGGUAAGUAGCAAUCACAGCAGGGAGUUCGAUAGAUGAACGCCUAUGUAAGUCUCAGAAGUACUGUGUGUCCCAUGUCAGUGAGAGGCACAGACACCCCUGUGGCAGGUAUCACAGACACAGGGACAGUCUCUGUGACAGUGCUGCUGCCUCACUGUGGGACUUGGAGAUACUCUUUCUGCUGAGCCAUGCUACAGAGAGGAGAGCACAAGAAAACUCAUUCCAACUAAUUUCUUAGAGCAAAUAGCACUAUUUUUCCAUCAUGAGACGUGCAGGUUGAGUUGAGAAACAAUAAACAAGAGGAUAAUUAAAUGAACAAAAUUAGAAUUUUUAAAGAGGGCUCAGCCAUCAAGUAUAUGGUAAAGGAUGCAUAACUGAAAAAUGUUGGUGCUUCUCUCCCCAUGGUUCCAAGCUCAUCAGAAAUAAUCCUUCUAGUGUGGUUCCCUUCAAGAGAGAGAUAUUCACCCAGUAAAUAUCCCUGUAAUUCUCCUUUCCUUUAGCUGCUCAUGGCUUGUUUAACAUGCCUGUGUGGAAUUUCACAUCCCCAACCCCUUGCAAACCUUUCGAAUGAGAAACAGGUGUUCCAGGGAUGGCUGAGAAAGCGCACUGUGUUUAUCAGCUGUGUAAACUUACGUUGAAGAAAUUUGUCUUGUUCCUCUCACAGAAGAGGCCCUGUGCAGGCAUGUGCUUCAGCUGCUGCCAGGGCACCCCGCUGCCCAGAAGCACGUCCCGGGCCCACUGCAGGUUCUGUGGACAAGAAAGGGCAGGGUUUGAAAGUGGCAUUUGAGUCGCAUUUGACCAGCUUUUGUAUGGACAACUUCACAAGACAGGACAUGAAAGAAAGAGGAAGAUGUUUGGUUCACAGAGACAAAUGAGAAUGUUGGACUCUAGCUUGUGUUCUGUGGACUGGAAAUACACUUCUGUGAGUCAUAAAUGUGAUUAAAUCACGUCCAUGAAAGAAGCGUA